rnacentral:rRNA from 1 species
AUUGAACGCUGGCGGCAUGCCUUACACAUGCAAGUCGAACGGUAACAGGUCUUCGGAUGCUGACGAGUGGCGAACGGGUGAGUAAUACAUCGGAACGUGCCUAGUAGUGGGGGAUAACUACUCGAAAGAGUUGCUAAUACCGCAUGAGAUCUACGGAUGAAAGCAGGGGAUCGCAAGACCUUGUGCUACUAGAGCGGCCGAUGGCAGAUUAGGUAGUUGGUGGGAUAAAAGCUUACCAAGCCGACGAUCUGUAGCUGGUCUGAGAGGACGAUCAGCCACAGUGGGACUGAGACACGGCCCAGACUCCUACGGGAGGCAGCAGUGGGGAAUUUUGGACAAUGGGCGAAAGCCUGAUCCAGCAAUGCCGCGUGCAGGAUGAAGGCCUUCGGGUUGUAAACUGCUUUUGUACGGAACGAAAAGCCCUGGGUUAAUACCCUGGGGUCAUGACGGUACCGUAAGAAUAAGCACCGGCUAACUACGUGCCAGCCGCCGCGGUAA